GCCUGGCUGGCUCAGUCCAUAGAGCAUGAAACUCUCGAUCUUGGGGUCAUGAGUUCAAGUCCCAUGGUGGGCC
rnacentral:tRNA from 1 species